CAGGCUUUACAGUCAUUCUUAAAUUGUACAGAGCACUGCCUUCGGGAGGCAGGGGCCGCAAGUUCAAAUCUUGCCAUCCCGACCA
rnacentral:tRNA from 1 species